GGCCAGUUAGGCCCAAACCGGACCGCGCGGGGCUUGGUUGGUCUGGGGCUAACCGCAUCUAGCUGGUGUGAACCAGAGCACCGUGGGCUAACGGUUCUGUUUCGAAGUAGGCCGGGGCGGGGCCUUGGAAAUUGGUUAGUCUCUAAGGUGCCACAAGUACUCCUUUUUUUUUUGGGUUGAACAGAGCUGAGCUUGGCUGUACCAUGCUGGGCCAAGCCUGGCUGAGUCAGACCAGGUAGCAUCGAGCCCACCUGGGACCAGUGGGGGCGCCAGAGCUUGCUUAGAUUAACCAGCUCCAAACCCAAUGACCAUUGCUCUCUCCCGUUUCCCCCUCCACCCCCAACAGAGGCAUUUAACCUGCCUGCCUUGGGUUAAAAAACACCAGUUCUGAGACCCUGGGAAAUAAGCUUUUUAAUAGGCGUGGAUUUCAGGAUUACGACGGCUAAAUGAGGAGAUGCAUAAAUCCCAAAUAUUGAACUGUCUUCCCUUCACCUUAUUUCCUGUGAACUCUCCCUAUCUCUGUGGUCAGUUGCCAUUAUAUGUUAUCUGUCUUAUAUAGAAGUCCAGCCAUUCUCUGUGCAGAAUUUUCAUGUUCAGGCCUUUAUGGGGAUGCUAGGGAGCGUGACCUCGUUGUUUGCUGUAUGUGUUUAAAGUCCUAUGCACACCUAAAUAAGUAGGAAAAACAGUAAGGUCGUUUUUCACAUACUCAUGCUAAUCUCCAUCAGCAGUUGUACAUGUUAAGAACAUAAGUUUUAAUACAUUACUUGUGAUCUAAAACAUUUGUAAUGUCUAGGAUGUGUUUUGCCCAGUAGGGGGACCAGUCACUAACUAUCUACAAUGGAAACUGGUAAAGUAGAUAAAGAGAAGAUGGAGAUGCACCUCCACUCCAGAAUUUGAUGUCAUCCUAAUUUCUCCUUUGCGGGAGUUGAUCAUUUCUAAAUGUAUUUUAACUGUGCCCAGAGAAAAGAGUUUUCUUUUUAUUAAACAUAAAGCAUUUUCUAAGCAUGCUGUUUUUCAUAGCUAUGUUUUUCAUAGCUAUUGUACAAUGUUGAUUCCAGUUUAUUUGCUUAUUUUUUGUAAGAGUUUCCAUAUUUUUAUUUUUCCAUAUUGCAUAUUUUUGAAGACUGUUUUCUCAUAUGUGAAAUUCAAACUUUUGCUGAGCCAUUCUCAAAGGCUCUGACAGCUCUUUAGAACCAUCUACAUAGAAACCCACUGAAAUGCUGCCAUCUCUGGGGUGGAGGGAAGUUGCCAAGAAGCAUACGUCCCAUGGAACAAUGGUGGGGUGCGGCAGAAAACUUUGAAGACAGGCAAAGCAGAGCAAAUCCCUUUUCUUAGAGAAUUACCUCACCCUUCUUGUCUCACGGGAUCUUUGAGGCAGUUUUCAAAGAAAUAGUACUCCAAGGUCAUUUUAAAAAUACACGGUUUUUUUUUUUUUACAUCUAGGCUUGCCCACGUUAAGUGGUCAUGUGUGCAGUUACUGUAUGUACAAAUGGAAAUCUAGACGUCUAAAUACUCAUUUGAACAGGCACUUGUAAUGACACGCACUAAUGAAAAUGUGGCCGUGCAGAGUAUAUAUAUACUUUUUAAAUUCUUAUGCAUAGGAGCCCACAUCCAAAACAAUAAAUUGCCUUGAAUAAGCGAUUGA